UGGCGGACGGGUGAGUAAUGUCUGGGAAACUGCCCGAUGGAGGGGGAUAACUACUGGAAACGGUAGCUAAUACCGCAUAACGUCGCAAGACCAAAGAGGGGGACCUUCGGGCCUCUUGCCAUCGGAUGUGCCCAGAUGGGAUUAGCUAGUUGGUGGGGUAACGGCUCACCUAGGCGACGAUCCCUAGCUGGUCUGAGAGGAUGACCAGCCACACUGGAACUGAGACACGGUCCAG
rnacentral:rRNA from 1 species